rnacentral:rRNA from 1 species
UACGUAGGGUGCAAGCGUUAAUCGGAAUUACUGGGCGUAAAGCGUGCGCAGGCGGUUUUGUAAGUCAGAUGUGAAAUCCCCCGGGCUUAACCUGGGAACUGCGUUUGAAACUACAAGGCUAGAGUGUGGCAGAGGGGGGGUGGAAUUCCACGUGUAGCAGUGAAAUGCGUAGAGAUGUGGAGGAACACCGAUGGCGAAGGCAGCCUCCUGGGCCAGCACUGACGCUCAUGCACGAAAGCGUGGGGAGCAAACAGG